UCCCUGGUGGCUUGGUGGUAAAGAAUCUGCCUGCUUAUGCAGAAGAGACAGGUUCAAUCCCUGCUCUGGGAA
rfam:Ovis aries breed Texel chromosome 6, whole genome shotgun sequence.